CCUACGGGGGGCAGCAGUGGGGAAUAUUGCACAAUGGGGGAAACCCUGAUGCAGCGACGCCGCGUGAGUGAAGAAGUAUCUCGGUACGUAAAGCUCUAUCAGCAGGGAAGAAAAUGACGGUACCUGACUAAGAAGCCCCGGCUAACUACGAGCCAGCAGCCGCGGUAAUACGUCGGGGGCAGGCGUUAUACGGAUUGACUGGGUGUAAAGGGGGCGUAGACGGCAGCACAAGUCCGGAGUGAAAGCCCGGGGCUUAACCCCGGAACUGCCUUGGAAACUGUGCGGCUGGAGUGCAGGAGGGGUAGGCGGAAUGCAUAGUGUAGCGGUGAAAUGCGUAGAUAUUAUGAGGAACACCGGUGGCGAAGGCGGCUUACUGGACUGUAACUGACGUUGAGGCUCGAAAGCGUGGGGAGCAAACAGGAUUAGAUACCCGAGUAGUC
rnacentral:rRNA from 1 species